rnacentral:rRNA from 1 species
AACGAACGCUGGCGGCAGGCUUAACACAUGCAAGUCGAACGCCCCGCAAGGGGAGUGGCAGACGGGUGAGUAACGCGUGGGAAUCUACCCAUCCCUACGGAAUAACGCAUGGAAACGUGUGCUAAUACCGUAUACGCCCUACGGGGGAAAGAUUUAUCGGGGAUGGAUGAGCCCGCGUUGGAUUAGCUAGUUGGUGGGGUAAAGGCCUACCAAGGCGACGAUCCAUAGCUGGUCUGAGAGGAUGAUCAGCCACAUUGGGACUGAGACACGGCCCAAACUCCUACGGGAGGCAGCAGUGGGGAAUAUUGGACAAUGGGCGCAAGCCUGAUCCAGCCAUGCCGCGUGAGUGAUGAAGGCCUUAGGGUUGUAAAGCUCUUCCACCGGAGAAGAUAAUGACGGUAUCCGGAGAAGAAGCCCCGGCUAACUUCGUG